rnacentral:sRNA from 1 species
AAAUUUACAGAUCUAACAUUGUCGGGUUGAUGUUUAGACGAGUUGUAUAUAUAUACAAAUCGUCUUAAACAUCAACCCAACAAUGUUAGAUCUA